rnacentral:rRNA from 1 species
GGAUUAGAUACCCUGGUAGUCCACGCCCUAAACGUUGAAUACUCGGUCUUGGCGAUACACAGUCAGGGCCCAAGCGAAAGCGUUAAGUAUUCCACCUGGGAAGUACGUUCGCAAGAAUGAAACUCAAAGAAAUUGACGGGGGCCCGCACAAGCGGAGGAGCAUGUGGUUUAAUUCGAUGAUACGCGAGGAACCUUACCUGGGCUUGAAUGUUAGUGACCGGAGCAGAAAUGUUUCUUUCCCGCAAGGGACACAAAACAAGGUGCUGCAUGGCUGUCGUCAGCUCGUGCCG